AUCUAGCUGAUGAGUAUCAGAUAGGACGAAACGCGCGUUCUAGAU
rnacentral:hammerhead_ribozyme from 1 species